AUUGAACGCUGGCGGCAGGCCUAACACAUGCAAGUCGAACGGUAGCACAGAGAGCUUGCUCUCGGGCGACGAGUGGCGGACGGGUGAGUAAUGUCUGGGAAACUGCCCGAUGGAGGGGGAUAACUACUGGAAACGGUAGCUAAUACCGCAUAACGUCGCAAGACCAAAGUGGGGGACCUUCGGGCCUCACACCAUCGGAUGUGCCCAGAUGGGAUUAGCUAGUAGGUGGGGUAAUGGCUCACCUAGGCGACGAUCCCUAGCUGGUCUGAGAGGAUGACCAGCCACACUGGAACUGAGACACGGUCCAGACUCCUACGGAAGGCAGCAGUGGGGAAGAUUGCACAAUGGGCGCAAGCCUGAUGCAGCCAUGCCGCGUGUAUGAAGAAGGCCUUCGGGUUGUAAAGUACUUUCAGCGGGGAGGAAGGCGGUGAAGUUAAUAACUUCACCGAUUGACGUUACCCGCAGAAGAAGCACCGGCUAACUCCGUGCCAGCCGCCGCGGUAA
rnacentral:rRNA from 1 species